AGUAGUGAAAGACCCUCAAGACAGGGGCUGGGGGCCGGCAUCUGCUUUUAUAAUGACAGUGGGGCCCGUGCAGUGACUGUAUUCUACUAAACAGGCCUCGCUCACUGUAUAAUUGUAUCUCUAAUAGUUAAUUUUUAUGUAUAUACCGUAAUCGCAUAAUCAGCGCCUGUAUACUUACAACUACAAGCGCUCGGUAGGUAGCAGAGAGGAGGGAGGAGGCAGGCCAGGAGGACAGGC